rnacentral:lncRNA from 1 species
GCCUGGCAGGUGUGGAGAGGCCCCAGAGAACCACAGAAGCAGCCGCAGAAGUGAUGAGUGAGCAAUCUCCAGGGAAAUGCCACAAGACUAGGCCGUGCAACAUUUCCGCAGUGCUCCUCGCUACAAAGACAUUCCCCUAAGGCUGGUGGGCAACUCAACACUCAGCUCAGUACGUGGUCAGCUCGUCCUCCAUAGGAGCCUUAUGCCUUGGUGAGGAGAUCUCUGAAGAAAUUGCUGAUGAAAGUCCAACAGGCUCUUCCAGUUUGUCUGGUCGGUCACAUUUGCUGAAACCUGGAGGAAUUGUUAGUGGAAGCUCAACAGGCCUGACUCAGUCUGACUGUCCAUUCUUCUGGAAGCUGCAGAGAAAAGAAACCUGGAAACCUUAUAUGCUGACAAAAAGGGACACAAUUGGAUAUGAUGGUUAUUUUACCAAGGUUUUGAAAUGUCGUGCUUUCAAAUAUAAACAGACUGCUUUAAGGAAUCGAAGUUGACUUAUAGAGCCAAUAAAAGCCC